GACGUAGGGUGCGAGCGUUGUCCGGAUUUAUUGGGCGUAAAGAGCUCGUAGGCGGCUCGUCGAGUCGAGCGUGAAAACCCGCGGCUUAACUGCGGGCUUGCAGUUGAUACGGGCGGGCUAGAGUUCGGUAGGGGAGACUGGAAUUCCUGGUGUAGCGGUGAAAUGCGCAGAUAUCAGGAGGAACACCGGUGGCGAAGGCGACGCUCUGGACCGAGACUGACGCUGAGGCGCGAAAGCGUGGGGAGCAAACAGG
rnacentral:rRNA from 1 species